UAAAAAGUCUGGUGCACAUAUGCUCAAGGG
rnacentral:piRNA from 1 species